GAAAAUUUUUUAUUAUUAAUUUUUAGAUUGGUAUUAAAAGUAUUAAAAAUAUUUUUAGAGUUUUAGUAGUAUUAUUGAAUUAAUUAUUAUUAAUUAUAGUGUAUUAGUAUUGUGAAAGAAUUUUUAUUAUUAGGAAAAAGAAGAUUUUAGUUUUUGUACCUUGUGUGUCAGGGUUUAUUAAAUAAUUUUUAAAGAUUUAAUUUUCUCGAAUUUAAAAGAGUUAUAAGGUUAUUUUUUUUAUUGUAGAAUAAAUAUUAUAAAUAAGAUUAUAGAAGUGAAAUGCUAUUCGAUUUUAAAUAUAUCUAGUUUUUUAAGAAAAAAAUUUAAUUUUAUUUUUAUAUAAUAUAGUAUUAAAUUAUUAAUAUUAUAUUAGUAAAAUUUAAUAAAUUAGGGGAUGAGCUUUAAUUUAAAUUUAUAUAAUUGGGUUAUUUAUUUAUAUUAAUAAGUAAAUAGAAUUAGAAGUUUUUAUUUUUAUAGUGUUUUAUAACUAGUUUAUUAGAUUAAUUAUGAUUUUUAUAUAAUUUAUAUUUUUUAUUGAAAUAUAGGCAAUAAUAUUUAUGGUUUAGUUAUAAUGAUAAAAUUAGUAUAAUUAGUUGUAUAUUUAAUUAAUAUUUAUAGAUUAAUUGAAGGAAUUCGGCAAAUAUAAUUUUCACCUGUUUAUUAAAAACAUGGCUUUUUGAAUAUAAUUUAAGGUCUAACCUGCCCAAUGAUUAAUUUUAAAUGGCCGCGGUAAUUUGACCGUGCAAAGGUAGCAUAAUCAUUAGUUUUUUAAUUGAAAGCUUGUAUGAAAGGUUUAAUGAAAAAUUAGCUGUCUCUUAUUAAAUUAUUAGAAUUUUAUUUUUAAGUUAAAAAGCUUAAAUAAUUAUGGAAGACGAGAAGACCCUAUAGAGUUUUAUAUACUUAUUAAUUGUAUAUUUUUAGAAUUAAGUGUUACAGUUAGUAUGUGUAAUUAAUUGGGGUGAUUGAAAAAUUGAAUUAACUUUUUUUUUAUGUUUACAUUUAUUUAUGAAUAUUUGAUCCUUAUAUUAAGACUAUAAGAUUAAAUUACCUUAGGGAUAACAGCGUUAUUUUUUUUUAGAGUUCUAAUCGAAAAGAAAGAUUGCGACCUCGAUGUUGGAUUAAAAUAUAAAUUUGGUGUAGAAGCUAAAUAAGUUAGGUCUGUUCGACCUUUAAAAUUUUACAUGAUCUGAGUUUAGACCGGCGUGAGCCAGGUUGGUUUCUAUCUCUAUAAAAUUGUAAUAUUUUAGUACGAAAGGACCAGAUAUUAAUUUUAUAAAUUAAUUUAAGAAUUUUAUUAAUAUUAAUUAUUUUGGCAGAAUAGUGCGAUAGAUUUAGGAUCUUUGUAUGUAAUUUUAUUACAA
rnacentral:rRNA from 1 species